ensembl:lncRNA
GUUCUCCUCCAGCAAGAACUGCAGAACAAUCUACUAGUUACGAUGACUCUGAAGCUGAGUAAGAAGCUGUGUGCGUGUGCGUGUGUCUCCACUGUGUGGCGUUGUGAGCCUGCCUGCACGUGAGUGUGCAUGUGUGCGGUGUGUGUGUAGUCUUGUGGUAGCUGCAGAAAUUGUGCAUGCGUGUGUUUGUUUCUGGGCGUGUCUCAGUGUUUACCCCAGAAAUAGAUAGGAACUUCGCCAAGGCUGCACUGCAAAUUCGUAUUCAAACUCGUCCCUUGGGAAUCGCAGGCAGCACUCCCGGGUUUAGCAGUAGGGCUUGAGGAGUGAUAUCCUGUGAGGAGCUGGCAAAAACAAUCUUUGUCGGAGGGACUCCUGGAGUCUUCUAGAACUCGGAGCCCAAGGGGUCCUUUCCCCCACCUCCUCCCAUCACUGUCACGCGACCUCUAAGGCGUUCCCACCGCUAACCUAGGAGUUCCAGACAGUCGCUAGCUCCCGGGCUGCUUUCCAGGGUCCUCCACUGGAAGGAGCGCAGAGCCCAGUGGCAUUUGUUUCUUCAAAGUCCCGGGGGAGUCCAGUUCCUGGUGGCCCCAAACUCCAGCCCUGAGAACGUUUGAGUAUGAGAGCCAAACAAUUUAGGAUGGCACGUCUCUGUUUGAUACUAGGUAACUUUUGGGAGAAAAGUUGAUCAUUUUUGAGAAGGAUAGAGUCAGUGGGGGUCAGCCUCCCCUCCAGCUGGCUCUAGGGCCUGGAGCCCAGUACUGCCCUCCAAAGGACGUGCUUCCUCACCCUGCACAGAAGGCACACAUGUUCACCCCACUUUCUUCCUCUUCCUCCUCCAGCCCACUUUCUCUUCUCUGUGUCGUCAGAGCUCCAGGGAGGGACCUGGGUAGACAGAGAAGCCGGAAACAGCAGGCUGGGCAGCCAGGGCUUACACCGAAGAGGAAGGCCGGGAGAGGAGAGAGAGAGAGAGAGAAAAGAGAGUGAGAGUGUGUGUGUGUGUGUGUGUGUGUGUGUGUGUGUAUGUGUGUGUGUUGCUUUUCUUUUUGGUGGUGGUGGCAGAGGGAGUAGGGCCAGCCCUGAACUCGUUGGACAGAGCUACAGACCCAUGGGGCCUGGCAGUGCCCGCUGAGAGGGAGAAGACGGCAAAGGGCUUGCCGAGCCUUCUAGCCCUCUGGCUUCCUCACCUGCUCUUCUACACUCCUCACUCCAGGCCAGUGAAUCCCAUUAUUUCUCUAGUCUUGCCCUCUUCCUUUCAUCUCUACUUUUCUCUUUUCUCCAUCUCCUCACACCCUUCCCCUCUUCUUAGGAUGAUGGGACUUGGAUCAGACAGUACAGUAUGGUGGUUAAUCCCCACUCCUAUUCAGAGCCUGACUUCCAACUCACUUGCCCAGUGGCCUUGGGCAAGUUAGAGAACCAUUUUAGUCUUAGUUUCUUCAUCUGUGAAGGAGCAUAAGUACAUAUUUUAAAAAUUAUUGCUGGGGAUCUAGCUCAGUGGUAGACCACUUGCCUAGCAUGCAUAAGGCCCUAGGUUCUGUCACUAGCACUACACAGACACACAAAAAUUGUUGUGAGGUUCCAAUGAAAUAAUAUAUUGAGUGGAGUGGAAUACCUCCCAUAGAGUAUGUACAGAAUAAAUAGUUGCUAUUAUCACUAUAUCUUCUUCUU